rnacentral:rRNA from 1 species
GGGUCCCACCUCUUCCCAUCCCGAACAGAGAAGUUAAGCCCUGCAGCGCCGAUGGUACUGGGGUUACACCCGGGAGAGUAGGCCGCCGCCACAU